GCUGAACUAGCAACGCCGCGUGUGCGAAGAAGGCCUUCGGGUUGUUAAGCACUUUUGAGAGGAUGAGGAAGGACGGUACUCUCAGAAUAAGUCUCGGCUAACUACGUGCCAGCAGCCGCGGUAACACGUAGGAGGCAAACGUUAUCCGGAUUUACUGGGCGUAAAGCGCGUGUAGGUGGUUUGGUAAGUAGGGCGUGAAAGCUCCUGGCUCAACUGGGAGAGGACGUUCUAAACUGCCAAGCUUGAGGAUGGUAGAGGGAGGUGGAAUUCCGGGUGUAGCGGUGGAAUGCGCAGAUAUCCGGAGGAACACCAGUGGCGAAGGCGGCCUCCUGGACCACUCCUGACACUCAGACGCGAAAGCUAGGGUAGCAAACGGGAUUAGAGACCCCGGUAGUCCUAGCCCUAAACGAUGUAGACUUGGCGUCGGUGGUUUAAUCGCCAUCGGUGUCGUAGCUAACGCGUUAAGUCUACCGCCUGGGGACUACGGCCGCAAGGUUAAAACUCAAAGGAAUUGACGGGUCCCCGCACAAGCAGCGGAGCGUGUGGUUUAAUUCGAUGCUACACGAAGAACCUUACCUGGGUUUGACAUAGAGGUAGUAGGGAAGCGAAAGCGGACCGACCCUUCGGGGAGCCUCUACAGGUGUUGCAUGGCUGUCGUCAGCUCGUGUCGUGAGAUGUUCGGUUAAGUCCGCUAACGAGCGCAACCCUCGCUGUGUGUUACAAGUGUCACACGGUACUGCCGAUAUUAAGUCGGAGGAAGGUGGGGAUGACGUCAAGUCAGCAUGACCUUUAUAUCCAGGGCUACACACACGCUACAAUGGCCAGUACAAUGGGUUGCCAAGCCGCGAGGCGGAGCCAAUCCUAAAAAGCUGGCCUCAGUUCAGAUUGCAGUCUGCAACUCGACUGCAUGAAGUUGGAGUUGCUAGUAACCGCAGGUCAGCAAUACUGCGGUGAAUACGUUCCCGGGGAUUGUACACACCGCCCGUA
rnacentral:rRNA from 1 species